rnacentral:rRNA from 1 species
AGAGAGCGGCGUACGGGUGCGUAACACGUGUGCAACCUGCCUUUAUCUGGGGGAUAGCCUUUCGAAAGGAAGAUUAACACCCCAUAAUAUAUUGAAUGGCAUCAUUUAAUAUUGAAAACUCCGGUGGAUAGAGAUGGGCACGCGCAAGAUUAGAUAGUUGGUGAGGUAACGGCUCACCAAGUCAAUGAUCUUUAGGGGGCCUGAGAGGGUGAUCCCCCACACUGGUACUGAGACACGGACCAGACUCCUACGGGAGGCAGCAGUGAGGAAUAUUGGACAAUGGGUGAAAGCCUGAUCCAGCCAUCCCGCGUGAAGGACGACGGCCCUAUGGGUUGUAAACUUCUUUUGUACAGGAAUAAACCAUUCUACGUGUAGGAUGCUGAAGGUACUGUACGAAUAAGCACCGGCUAACUCCGUGCCAGCAGCCGCGGUAAUACGGAGGGUGCAAGCGUUAUCCGGAUUUAUUGGGUUUAAAGGGUCCGUAGGCGGACCGAUAAGUCAGUGGUGAAAUCUCGCAGCUUAACUGCGAA